AACGAACGCUGGCGGCAGGCUUAACACAUGCAAGUCGAGCGCCCCGCAAGGGGAGCGGCAGACGGGUGAGUAACGCGUGGGAAACUACCCUUUGGUACGGAAUAACACAGAGAAAUUUGUGCUAAUACCGUAUGUGCCCUUCGGGGGAAAGAUUUAUCGCCAUAAGAUGUGCCCGCGUAGGAUUAGCUAGUUGGUGUGGUAAUGGCGCACCAAGGCGACGAUCCUUAGCUGGUCUGAGAGGAUGACCAGCCAGACUGGGACUGAGACGGGGGCCAGACUCCUAGGGGAGGCAGCAGUGGGGAAUAUUGGACAAUGGGCGCAAGCCUGAUCCAGCCAUGCCGCGUGGGUGAUGAAGGCCUUAGGGUUGUAAAGCUCUUGCACCCACGACGAUAAUGACGGUAGUGGGAGAAGAAGCCCCGGCUAACUUCGUGCCAGCCGCCGCCGUAACAC
rnacentral:rRNA from 1 species